AGUGAACGCUGGCGGCAGGCCUAACACAUGCAAGUCGAACGGCAGCACAGUAAGAGCUUGCUCUUACGGGUGGCGAGUGGCGGACGGGUGAGGAAUACAUCGGAAUCUACUUUUUCGUGGGGGAUAACGUAGGGAAACUUACGCUAAUACCGCAUACGACCUACGGGUGAAAGCAGGGGAUCUUCGGACCUUGCGCGAUUGAAUGAGCCGAUGUCGGAUUAGCUAGUUGGCGGGGUAAAGGCCCACCAAGGCGACGAUCCGUAGCUGGUCUGAGAGGGUGAUCCGCCACCCUGGAACUGAGACACGGUCCAGACUCCUACGGGAGGCAGCAGUGGGGAAUAUUGGACAAUGGGCGCAAGCCUGAUCCAGCCAUACCGCGUGAGUGAAGAAGGCCUUCGGGUUGUAGAGCCCUUUUGUUGGGAGAGAAAAACAGCAGGUUAAUACCCCGCUGUUCUGACGGUACCCAAAGAAUAAGCACCGGCUAACUUCGUG
rnacentral:rRNA from 1 species